CCUACGGGAGGCUGCAGUGGGGAAUAUUGGACAAUGGGCGAAAGCCUGAUCCAGCCAUGCCGCGUGUGUGAAGAAGGCCUUCGGGUUGUAAAGCACUUUCAGUGGGGAAGAAAGCCUUGGGGCUAAUACCCUCGAGGAAGGACAUCACCCACAGAAGAAGCACCGGCUAACUCCGUGCCAGCAGCCGCGGUAAUACGGAGGGUGCGAGCGUUAAUCGGAAUUACUGGGCGGAAAGCGCGCGUAGGCGGUCUGAUAAGCCGGUUGUGAAAGCCCCGGGCUCAACCUGGGAACGGCAUCCGGAACUGUCAGGCUAGAGUGCAGGAGAGGAAGGUAGAAUUCCCGGUGUAGCGGUGAAAUGCGUAGAGAUCGGGAGGAAUACCAGUGGCGAAGGCGGCCUUCUGGACUGACACUGACGCUGAGGUGCGAAAGCGUGGGUAGCAAACAGGAUUAGAUACCCUAGUAGUC
rnacentral:rRNA from 1 species